rnacentral:rRNA from 1 species
GACGCCCUUAAUCCAGCCCAGAUCUCCUAUUUCUAACCCCAUUCUCCACCCUAAAAAUAAAUCAUUCUUAAUCUAAAGUAAAUGUGAUUGAAAAAGAACUUGGAGCCUCAUAAGCAGUACCGCAAGGGAAAGAUGAAAUAGAAAUUAAACAAACAUUUAAGCAACAAAUAGUAGAGACUUCAACUCGUACCUUUUGCAUCAUGGUUUAACUAGUCAAACCAGGCAAAGAGAUCUUUAGUCUGAUUUCCCGAAACUAAGUGAGCUACUCCAAGGCAACCCUAGAGUUAACCCGUCUCUGUAGCAAAAGAGUGGGAUAACCUUCGAGUAGAGGUGAUAUACCUAUCGAACUAAGUGAUAGCUGGUUACUCAAGAAACGAAUUUUAGUUCCUUCUUAAGAGGAUCUAGCAACUCUCUUGUUAAGCAAAUUCAGCCUCUUAAGACCUAUUCAACUAGGGUACAGCCUAAUUGAAAAAGGAUACAACCUAAGAUUCAGGUUAACGUUUAUAAGAUCUAGAGUAAGUUGGCCUAAGAGCAGCCAUCUUUAAAAUAGCGUCAAAGCUUUCUCUACCCUCUUCUUCAAUUCCUUAAUAUCUACCGAACCCGAUACUUUUAUUGAGUCCUUCUAUACUCCUAUAGAAGUGUUUAUGUUAAAACUAGUAACACAGAAUUAUUUCUCUCUAUGUAAGUGUAAAUCAGACUGAAUAAAUCACUGAUAAUUAACCAGUAAUGAAGCUACUGUAGCAACCCCACUAGAAAACCCUACAACCUCACACUGUUAACCUAACACAAGAACAUUGGAUGAAAGAUUAAAAGAUAAGGAAGGAACUCGGCAAAUAUAAGUCCCGCCUGUUUACCAAAAACAUCGCCUUUUGCAAAUUAUAUAAGGUAAUGCCUGCCCAGUGACCAUAGGUUCAACGGCCGCGGUAUCCUGACCGCGCGAAGGUAGCGUAAUCACUUGUCUUUUAAAUAAAGACUAGUAUGAAAGGCUUCACGAGGAUUUGACUGUCUCCCUUAUCCAAUCAGUAAAACUAAUCUCCUCGUGAAGAAGCGGGGAUAAACCCAUUAGACGAGAAGACCCUAUGGAGCUUUAAACUUAAUUUUAAUAAUUGUAAUUACCUCCCCGGAAGAAACAAAUAAAAUUUUUAACUUAAUUUGAGUUUUGGGUUGGGGCGACCAUGGAGAAAAAAAUAUCCUCCCUGAUGAUCUUUAGUCAAGAGCUACAGCUCUAAGUAUUAAGAUACUUAACUUCAAUUGACCCAUUUUGUGAUCAACGAACCAAGUUACCCUAGGGAUAACAGCGCAAUCCAUUUCAAGAGUCCCUAUCGACAAAUGGGUUUACGACCUCGAUGUUGGAUCAGGGUAUCCCAG